GUUUAAGUAGCUCAGCUGGUUAGCUCAAAGGACUGAAAAUCCUUGUGUUAGUGGUUCAAAUCCACUUUUAAGCG
rnacentral:tRNA from 1 species